rnacentral:tRNA from 1 species
AAAAAUUUAGUUUUAAAAAAAAACACAAAAUUGUCAAUUUUGAAAUACUUAAAAGUAAUUUUUU